rnacentral:tRNA from 1 species
GAGGGUAUAGCACAGUGGUAGAGUGUGUGCUUUAGCAUGCUUGAGGUCCUGGGUUCAAUCCCCAGUACCUCA